UUACAUUUUGUAGAUGUUACUUUCCUUGUACGGCCCCUCCAUCUGUACAUUCGACCGGUUGCGAUCAAGACGAUCACUUAAAUCUUAAUCCAUCCUUGCUAGUUUGUCAAUAUUUUUGGUAUAUCAUGGCUUUAUUUUAAUGAUAAUUAGUUAAUCGUCCUUAAGAUCAGUAUAUUUUAAGCAUAGCAAUCGUAAAAUUUCUGAUUUUCUCUAUGUAUGCCGAGAUCUCUCAAUGAUGAUAAUUUCACAGACCUGUACUGAAACACUGUGAUUGCACAUUUAUUUAUCUGAUGAGAGAUUGCCAGUUUUUACUUAAUUCAUGAAAGUAAAAAGUAGCGAGUUGCACGUGUUUUGGAAGCGUCACGUGGAAGUGCUUGACCUAACUGAGAUUUUUCUCUUUUGCAGCCAUGCGGUCAACGAUGAGCUUGCAGUUUAUGCGGUGGAAAGGUUCGAUUGGGCCUGGUGCACUGAUGCUAAAGCUUUUAAACAUAAUGGGUUUCUACACAUGAUCCUGGGGUGUGAAGUGUGCCUAGUGCCUGAAUUAUGAUGGUUGUGCCUGCACACAGUGACCAUUAACGGAUGGGCUACUCGUGUCAAAGGAUUGGCCAUCUGUGAUUGGUCAUGUGUUGAGUCCUCAAGCACUUUCAGGUAUUGUACCUGACAUCUGCACAGUCCUGCAGAGGAUAACAGCGUUUCCCAGGAAUGGCUGCGCCUUUUGACUUGGUGAUUCCAGGCCUCGCUUGUGUUGCAGUGCUGCGUGCUAGUUUCUAAGGUGACCAUGCCUUGCGACUUGCUGUCUAGGAUUGUAAUUUGAGAUUUGCACCUGCUGUCAUCUGAUUCUAAAGUUUGACCAGAAAUUAACUCUGGCUAUGGUCCUGAAGAAGUUACUGAAGAUUCUGGAGUUGGUGUAUGGAGUUUGCAAUUCUGGAACAUUCACUGUACCUUUAUGCCUCUUAAUGAAUUCAGAUGUAUCAAUUAGACCUAAUUUCUACA